rnacentral:rRNA from 1 species
GGAAUAUUGGGCAAUGGAGGGAACUCUGACCCAGCGACGCCGCGUGCGGGAUGAAGGCCUUCGGGUUGUAAACCGCUUUCAGCAAGGAAGAAGCGAAAGUGACGGUACUUGCAGAAGAAGCACCGGCUAACUAUGUGCCAGCAGCCGCGGUAAUACAUAGGGUGCAAGCGUUGUCCGGAAUUAUUGGGCGUAAAGAGCUCGUAGGUGGUUCGUCACGUCGGAUGUGAAAAUCUGGGGCUUAACCCCAGACCUGCAUUCGAUACGGGCGAGCUAGAGUGUGGUAGGGGAGACUGGAAUUCCUGGUGUAGCGGUGGAAUGCGCAGAUAUCAGGAGGAACACCAAUGGCGAAGGCAGGUCUCUGGGCCAUUACUGACACUGAGGAGCGAAAGCGUGGGGAGCGAACAGGAUUAGAUACCCUGGUAGUCCACGCCGUAAACGGUGGGCACUAGUUGUGGGAACCUUCCACGGUUUCUGCGACGCAGCUAACGCAUUAAGUGCCCCGCCUGGGGAGUACGAUCGCAAGAUUAAAACUCAAAGGAAUUGACGG